GACCAGACGCCAAUAAUUUUCACGUUGAACAAAAUAUGGUUUGCGGGUUUAACUUUUGCAAUCAGCACGAUCGUUGCACUCUUCGUUACCUUGGUCACAGGGGCAAACGAUACCUCAAAAAUGGACCCAAGACUUGUGGUCUGGAAAGUCAAGAGUGACUUCGUUCCUACAGAAACCCGGACGAGACAGCAUGUAUUGGACGACUAUAUUUCUCUGCCAGAAAUGGACGAUGGUGAAAAGGAAAGACUUGAAGAAACGUUGACCGCUUCCAAAUCCACAACUGAAGUGUGAAUGGACUACAAACACUGUGAAAAUACAGCUGUCGUGUUCAAAAUAUUACACAAGCGUUAUUAUAUCAAAAUGUACAUGCGACGUAAAUAUACAUAUAAACGUGGACAUGGGUUUAAAAAGAAUCGUAAAAAAUGAAGUUUAACAAACACAAACUCAAUAAACCUGUUUUACUAGUGCAGUCUUGUAUGUAGUUUUGAUAUAUAAAUUGAGCAUUUAAGGCGCCCAAGCAAUGCUUUUUAAUGCUAUCCUUGAAAAUGCACCUUUUUGUCCCAUUUAACCUCCUUUUCAAUUUUCUUCUUGCCUUUUUGAACAGUAUUUUAGCGCCUAUUUGUUUUUUAUGCUAAUGCAAAUUUCCAUAUUCAUGAGCGAGACUGUGAUGUCAUUCCGGGCAGAAACUAGUCUGGU